CCUACGGGUGACAGCAGUGAGGAAUAGUGGUCAAGGGGCGCGAGCCUGAACCAGCCAAGUAGCGUGAAGGAUGACUGCCCUACGGGUUGUAAACUUCUUUUAUAAAGGAAUAAAGUGAGGCACGUGUGCCGUUUUGUAUGUACUUUAUGAAUAAGGAUCGGCUAACUCCGUGCCAGCAGCCGCGGUAAUACGGAGGAUCCGAGCGUUAUCCGGAUUUAUUGGGGUUAAAGGGAGCGUAGAGGGGUUGUUAAGUCAGUUGUGAAAGUUUGCGGCUCAACCGUAAAAUUGCCAUUGAUACUGGCAGUCUUGCUUACAGUUGCGGUAGGCGGCAUUCGUGGUGUAGCCGU
rnacentral:rRNA from 1 species